AUUGAACGCUGGCGGCAUGCCUUACACAUGCAAGUCGAACGGCAGCACGGGGGCAACCCUGGUGGCGAGUGGCGAACGGGUGAGUAAUACAUCGGAACGUGUCCUGUAGUGGGGGAUAGCCCGGCGAAAGCCGGAUUAAUACCGCAUACGAUCUACGGAAGAAAGCGGGGGAUCCUUCGGGACCUCGCGCUAUAGGGGCGGCCGAUGGCAGAUUAGCUAGUUGGUGGGGUAAAGGCCUACCAAGGCGACGAUCUGUAGCUGGUCUGAGAGGACGACCAGCCACACUGGGACUGAGACACGGCCCAGACUCCUACGGGAGGCAG
rnacentral:rRNA from 1 species